ensembl:lncRNA
GAUCUCUCUCUCUCUCUCUCUCUCUCUCUCUCUCUCUCUCUCUCUCUCUCUCUCUCUCCUUUGGUCAUCACCUCUCUCCUGCUCGCUAACUCUCUUCCCCUUCAACCCUGCCAUAAAGGACGAUAAUUUAAAUUUUGGCAGUGAAUCAUGACAUUUAUUCAACUGGUCUCCAAACCACGAGAAGCUGGGUCUUACACUGUUCAGAACAAGCAAUAGCAAAGAGCAGUUCAGCGAGGAAAGGGUUAAUCGGGAUAGCUUUGAAUUCAUGGCCAUCCUGUCUCUGCCUGAAACUACAGAGCAAUGAACUGUCUUCCUACCCAAUUCAUAUAUUCAGCCCUUGUUUCUACUGAGAUAUGUCUCCAGCCAUUAAGUUGUCUCUGGUCAUGGAGUUUCAUCACAGCAAUAGGAACCCUAAGACAUACAUACCUGUAAUCUGGAAUUGGACGUGGGAGGACCGAGAGUUCAAGGUCACUCUUGGUUAUUUAAUGAGACUGAGCCGCCACACAUUUGGAAAACUUGUAUAUUUAUGUAAAGCUCCAAUAUCCAGUCUCAAGGAUGACUCAGUAUGGUAAAGACCCUCGCUGCCAGGCUUGAUGACUUACGCUUGAGUCCUGGAUCCCACAUGGUGGAAAAGUCAACUUUCACAAGUUUUUGACCUUCACAGUAGUCACAUACAAACAACAAAACCCUAGUUUGGGACCGUAGAGAUGGCUCAGCCAUCGUCUGUUGAGAGCCCUUCACAUAGCUUCUCACAACUGCCUGUAACUCCUGUUUCCAGGGAGUUGGUGCACAUGUAUAACAUGUGCACUCAUACACGUGAAAAUAAAUGGAUCUUUAAAAUACAAAAAUAAAAACAAAGUUUUAGGUUGGUCCUGU